AACUUUUAACAAUGGAUCUCUUGGCUCUCGCAUUGAUGAAGAACACAGCGAAAUGCGAUACGUAAUGUGAAUUGCAGAAUUCAGCACCUUGCGCCCCUUGGCAUUCCGAGGGGCACACCUGUUUGAGUGUCGUGAAUUUCUCAAAAUCCUUUUCUCUGAAAAGAUUUUGGACUUGGAGGAUCAAUGCUCACUCUCACAUUUUUGAAAGUGAGCUCCUCUUAAAUGAAUUAGCAGGGUUUGCUUUGCUGAUCCUUGACGUGAUAAGAUGAUUCUACGUUUUGGAUUUGGCACUGUCCCUUUAGACACCUACUUCUAACCGUCUUAUGGACAACGAUAGUGUUCCAGUCACCGCUGCCUAUGUUGGUGGGAGGCUGGACCCACAAGAAAAACCUUGACCUCAAAUCGGGUGAGACUACCCGCUGAACUUAAGCAUAUCAAUAAGCGGAGGCU
rnacentral:misc_RNA from 1 species